UACAGAGGGUGCAAGCGUUAAUCGGAAUUACUGGGCGUAAAGCGUGUGUAGACGGUUAUGUAAGUCAGAUGUGAAAGCCCCGGGCUUAACCUGGGAAUGGCAUUUGAGACUGCAUAGCUAGGGUGCGGAAGAGGGAAGCGGAAUUUCCGGUGUAGCGGUGAAAUGCGUAGAUAUCGGAAGGAACACCAGUGGCGAAAGCGGCUUCCUGGUCCAGCACCGACGUUCAGGCACGAAAGCGUGGGGAGCAAACAGG
rnacentral:rRNA from 1 species